rnacentral:rRNA from 1 species
AUUGAACGCUGGCGGCAUGCCUUACACAUGCAAGUCGAACGGUAACAGGUCUUCGGAUGCUGACGAGUGGCGAACGGGUGAGUAAUACAUCGGAACGUGCCCGAUCGUGGGGAUAACGAAGCGAAAGCUUUGCUAAUACCGCAUACGAUCUACGGAUGAAAGCGGGGGAUCUUCGGACCUCGCGCGGACGGAGCGGCCGAUGGCAGAUUAGGUAGUUGGUGGGAUAAAAGCUCACCAAGCCGACGAUCUGUAGCUGGUCUGAGAGGAUGAUCAGCCACACUGGGACUGAGACACGGCCCAGACUCCUACGGGAGGCAGCAGUGGGGAAUUUUGGACAAUGGGGGCAACCCUGAUCCAGCCAUGCCGCGUGCAGGAUGAAGGCCUUCGGGUUGUAAACUGCUUUUGUACGGAACGAAAAGACUCUUUCUAAUAAAGGGAGUCCAUGACGGUACCGUAAGAAUAAGCACCGGCUAACGUACGUG